rnacentral:rRNA from 1 species
UACGUAGGGUGCAAGCGUUGUCCGGAAUUAUUGGGCGUAAAGAGCUCGUAGGCGGUUUGUCGCGUCUGCUGUGAAAAUCCAGGGCUUAACCCUGGACCUGCAGUGGGUACGGGCAGACUGGAGUGCGGUAGGGGAGAUCGGAAUUCCUGGUGUAGCGGUGAAAUGCGCAGACAUCAGGAGGAACACCGGUGGCGAAGGCGGAUCUCUGGGCCGUAACUGACGCUGAGGAGCGAAAGCAUGGGGAGCGAACAGG